CUUCUCGGCACAUAAUAUCGGUUUUAUUGUUAUGUAAAACCGUAAUAUUGAUGUGCCUUUGGAAAACAUACAGCAUUGUAUUAUGAAGACGUGUUUGUUAUCUGCUGGUGAAAUUAUUAAGCACAACGCUAUGAUGAAAUAGAAAGUCGACAGCGCUGCUUUAUGAUGCAGAAGGAUUGUUUUAUAGGCAAAAUUUUCUUUUUGGAAAAGAAGAAAGAAUUUGGCAACAUCUGCAGACUUAGGAUCAAUUUUAAAACUGUAGCACCAUAUGCACCAUCUUCUAGUUGCUGGUAAGUAUGCUGACAAAGUGGAUUGACACCAGCUAAUUUUCAAUAAAUCUUCUCCUGUUUA